AUUUCUUGUAAGGAGAUGAAGACCAGCCCAAGGAUUACAGCACCACGCUGCUUGUGAUCAUACCCACACCUGGCCCUGAUCCCCACUCCUCUGGCUCACCAGCUGAACACCAACUUGAUCAAUGAAUUUUUGCCAAGCUUGCCACCCCUUUGGGGACUCUUAUUCUCCUAGCUGGAGGCUUGUGCCCCUGUUUGAGCACAUCUGGGUUACAGCAACUGGAUAAUAACCAGGAAGAUUCAGUCUCCAGAUUACUUCUGGGUGCCAGCCAAAACUUCAAAAGACAGAGCAAAGCAUAAUCCAAAUGGCAUGGGAUAGCAUAUGCCCUUCUGGAUCCACUAACUGCACAUUUCCUGGCACACAUCAGUGGGAGUUUUGAGGCUUCAUACCUGGUGCUGCAAAUAUCUGAUUACAAGCCAUAAUGCUAUGGCUCCUAAAGGAAGCCUUGUGUGCUCCAAGAAGGCAGGAACAUGUUACAGACAGGAUAGAACAAUGGAGUAAAAUUUUGUGGAGCUCACACCUGCAGGGCAUGUGAACGAAGCCUUUGCUUGGGUUCAGGUAGGAGCACCAAGCCUCAGGUAAGUGGAAUUCAACAGCAUUAGGAUACUGGGCUGAGCCUUAUGAGAAUCUAUGGUAAUCUGCUGUAUUUUGGAGGAGAUUUUCAAGUAUUUGGGUCAUUUCUCUAUAUUAACUCUUAUCAAGGAGCAACUUUCCAAUCUCCUCACAGAAGGAAGGUUUUCCUUUUUGCAGCUUCUCUUUGUUGCCAGAUGAAAACAAAUUGGAUUUAUGGCUCUCACUAAAGGUUGUGAAGAAGCCAAGUGAUUUGAAAGGGAAAAGGAAAAUAACUUGUAAAAAGAAAUGCUUUUAAUUAAAAAAAUGUUUUGAAGUAUUGCAUAAAGAACCAUUAAUUGUUGCUUCAGCAAUUAUGUGAUAUUAUAUCCGUAUGGAAGUUAUUUGCUGUUACUUCAAGCCUAUGGUAGGUUAUUUGCUCUAGGCUCUUUUUCUUUUUUUUUCCCACUUUUUUAGAAGGAGUAAAUUAAACUACCUCAAGAAGAGGAAUUUUUCUAUUUCCUGUUAAUUUUCUUCUUCCUUUUUCUUUCCUUUAUUUUUUUCUUUUUAGGACAGAGGUUUCUAAUGAUCACGUUUGGCCCCAUUCAUCCUCCCACCUGUUCCCUUACAAACCUCCUGCCAGAAAACCUGUUUUGUAACCCCAAGUAACUCACAUGAAUUAAGUCCCAGAAGUUUUGGUGCCUCUAACUUUCCUGAUUUGGACUCUGAUUUCCAAAGUAUAACCCUUUCUCUGCCAUAGGGUGUAACAAGCUCACGCUGCUCUAGGAAAAGCAAGCUGCUCCAUACUGCAGCUGCAAGGAAAUGCAAAACGGUGAUAUAGGGCAAAACCUUCUAGAUUCUUCCUUUCUGCCCAGGGGCUAAAGCAGAUAAAUGUCCCAUCUUCUAUAGCCCCUGCUUGCCCCAGAAGCAAAAUUCCUAAGCUAAUUUACAGACUCUUAUGCCCAACAUUGUAUGCACAGGUCUAAUCACAUGGGGUUUUUAUUUUAUCAGCCAAAAAAAAGCAACUUUCAAAGGUGGGAGUCCCAAGAGCAAUGUCACCUAAUGGAAGAAAUGGAUUGGUUUGCUAGUAGGUAGAUUAACCUUAAACUGUCCUCUAAACCACUCACAUUUAUUUUUGACCUACAGGCGCAUUGACAUAUGUAGAAUGCUAUAAGGGGACACAGGGAGCAGAUACUUGAGAAAAGUGUCCAGAUGCAUUUAAACACUUUUAAAAUUGAAAAAUGACUGAAUGGCCCCAAAGCAUUUUAAAAAUCCACCAACUGGAUGCUUUUAUAUUUCUUCGUACACCUGGCUCAAUGCAAGUGAUACUAGUUUUAUUUUUCACUGUGAACUUCUAAUCAUUGUAAGCCAUAUGUGUAUUUUUUCAUCAGAGAUGCAUGCACAGAAUAGAAAAGGUGAAUAGACUGACUGAGUUCUCCAGCUACUUAGGUUUGUGCCUGCCACAAGGGCUGAAUAACUCCCAAGAGUUCUGUGUAGCUAUUACCUGAGAGUGAAGAUGCUUAAUGUGUCCCUGGGAGAUCUCCUUUAACGGUAGCAACUUUGUGAGAGAAUUUGCAAUUUUCGUCUGUCACAGAGCAGCUUAUCCAGAGAAGGGAGAUGUAGAAAAUCAGGGGUGGGGGUUAAUAAACAGUGAAUAUUGAA